rnacentral:rRNA from 1 species
AGAGUUUGAUCCUGGCUCAGGAUGAACGCUAGCGGCAGGCCUAACACAUGCAAGUCGAACGGUAACAGGAAUUAGCUUGCUAAUUUGCUGACGAGUGGCGCACGGGUGCGUAACGCGUAUGCAAUCUACCUUGUACUGGAGUAUAGCCCAGGGAAACUUGGAUUAAUCCUCCAUAGUCUAUUGAUAUGGCAUCGUAUUAAUAGUAAAGGUUACGGUACAAGAUGAGCAUGCGUCCUAUUAGCUAGUAGGUGUGGUAACGGCACACCUAGGCAACGAUAGGUAGGGGUCCUGAGAGGGAGAUCCCCCACACUGGUACUGAGACACGGACCAGACUCCUACGGGAGGCAGCAGUGAGGAAUAUUGGACAAUGGGCGGGAGCCUGAUCCAGCCAUGCCGCGUGCAGGAAGACUGCCCUAUGGGUUGUAAACUGCUUUUAUACGGGAAGAAUAAGUGUUACGUGUAGCACGAUGACGGUACCGUAAGAAUAAGCACCGGCUAACUCCGUGCCAGCAGCCGCGGUAAUACGGAGGGUGCAAGCGUUAUCCGGAAUCAUUGGGUUUAAAGGGUCCGUAGGUGGACUAAUAAGUCAGUGGUGAAAGUCUGCAGCUUAACUGUAGAAUUGCCAUUGAUACUGUUGGUCUUGAAUUGUUGUGAAGUAACUAGAAUAUGUAGUGUAGCGGUGAAAUGCAUAGAUAUUACAUAGAAUACCGAUUGC